UAGGUAGGUGGUCUCAUUUGUCUAGGGUGAAAGCCUUGAGCUUAACUCAAGAAGUGCCCUAGAAACGGUGAGACUGGAGUCCUGGAGAGGGUCGUGGAAUUCCCGGUGUAGCGGUGAAAUGCGUAGAGAUCGGGAGGAACACCAGAGGCGAAGGCGGCGACCUGGACAGGUACUGACACUCAACUACGAAAGCGUGGGGAGCAAACAGGAUUAGAUACCCUGGUAGUCCACGCUGUAAACGAUGGGUACUAGGUUUGGUGGGUCUUGACCCCGCCGAACCGGCGCUAACGCACUAAGUACCCCGCCUGGGAAGUACGGUCGCAAGACUAAA
rnacentral:rRNA from 1 species